UAGGGAAUCUUCGGCAAUGGACGAAAGUCUGACCGAGCAACGCCGCGUGAGUGAAGAAGGUUUUCGGAUCGUAAAACUCUGUUGUUAGAGAAGAACAAGGACGUUAGUAACUGAACGUCCCCUGACGGUAUCUAACCAGAAAGCUACGGCUAACUACGUGCCAGCAGCCGCGGUAAUACGUAGGUGGCAAGCGUUGUCCGGAUUUAUUGGGCGUAAAGCGAGCGCAGGCGGUUUCUUAAGUCUGAUGUGAAAGCCCCCGGCUCAACCGGGGAGGGUCAUUGGACACUGGGAGACUUGAGUGCAGAAGAGGAGAGUGGAAUUCCAUGUGUAGCGGUGAAAUGCGUAGAUAUAUGGAGGAACACCAGUGGCGAAGGCGGCUCUCUGGUCUGUAACUGACGCUGAGGCUCGAAAGCGUGGGGAGCAAACAGG
rnacentral:rRNA from 1 species